GCCCCUGUAGCCCAAUCGGUAGAGGUGUCCGCCUCAGAAGCGGAAGGUUGCUGGUUCGAAUCCAGCGAGGGGCACCA
rnacentral:tRNA from 1 species